UGGAGGAAUGAGAAGGUGGAGCAGAUGUUAUGUACUGCUUCCUACUGGUAUUAACCUCCUACAGGAAAAAUGCAGGUACAUGGCUCCUUUUCACUUCUGUUGAGAUCGUAGCUUGUAUUUAUGUA